rnacentral:snRNA from 1 species
UUUCUUACCAAUAAAACGCAA